CUACGGGGUGCUGCAGUGAGGAAUAUUGGUCAAUGGGCGCGAGCCUGAACCAGCCAUCCCGCGUGCAGGAUGACGGCCCUAUGGGUUGUAAACUGCUUUUCUAUGCCAAGAAACCCUGUUACGAGUAACAGGUUGCCGGUAGCAUAGGAAUAAGCAUCGGCUAACUCCGUGCCAGCAGCCGCGGUAAUAGGGAGGAUGCAAGCGUUAUCCGGAUUCAUUGGGUUUAAAGGGUGCGCAGGUGGGCUUGUAAGUCAGUGGUGAAAUGCUGCCGCUUAACGGUAGAACUGCCAUUGAUACUGCGAGUCUUGAGUAUGGUUGAGGUAGGCGGAAUGUGUUGUGUAGCGGUGAAAUGCAUAGAUAUGACACAGAACGCCAAUUGCGAAGGCAGCUUACUAAGCCAUUACUGACGCUGAGGCACGAAAGCGUGGGGAGCGAACAGGAUUAGAUACCCGCGUAGUC
rnacentral:rRNA from 1 species